rnacentral:rRNA from 1 species
CCUACGGGUGGCAGCAGCGAGGAAUAUUGGUCAAUGGGCGGAAGCCUGAACCAGCCAAGUAGCGUGCAGGAUGACGGCCCUACGGGUUGUAAACUGCUUUUAUACGGGAAUAACGCGCCUUACGUGUAGGGCUUUGCAUGUACCGUAUGAAUAAGGCCCGGCUAAUUCCGUGCCAGCAGCCGCGGUAAUAAGGAAGGUCCGGGCGUUAUCCGGAUUGAUUGGGUUGAAAGGGAGCGUAGGCCGCAUGUCAAGCGUGCUGUGAAAUGUCCGGGCUCCACCCGGGCCUUGCAGCGCGAAAUGGCGUGCUUGAGUCCGCGGAAAGCAGGCGGAAUUCGUCGUGUAGCGGUGAAAUGCUUAGAUAUGACGAAGAACCCCGAGUGCGAAGGCAGCUUGCUGCAGCGGAACUGACGCUGAUGCUCGAAAGCGCGGGUAUCGAACAGGAUUAGAUACCCGAGUAGUC